UAUUGCAGUACCUCCAGGAACGGUG
rnacentral:piRNA from 3 species